UACCAGCAAAACCGGUCUCGCUCAAAGACAUGAAGAACUUCAACAUUGCAACUCUUGCAACAAUGAUGCUGUGUGGUGAUGCUUGGAGCAUCACGACCAAUACAUCAUGACCUUCAACUGGAACAUAUUAAGAUAAUGGCAACAAAUAUGUCCAAAUACAAUGAUACAAAUGGGGUUCAGACUAUACCAUGGCCAGAGCGAAAUGAUUCUGAGACAUGUUUGAUGAGGACUUCUGUUUGGCGGAAAAGGCUUUGAAAAGAACAGCUUUAAAUACUUCAAAUUCUUACUCGAUUGUUGGAAACGUAUAACAAAAACAACGCAACCAAAAAGAUCGAGUGUCACCUGAGCCAUGACAGAUCAAUUCACAUACAUCGUUUCCUGAAACAUUUGGCUCAUUGUGCGGGCG